rnacentral:rRNA from 1 species
UGUGAGUAGCGAAAGACGGGUGAGAAUCCCGUCCACCGAUUGACUAAGGUUUCCAGAGGAAGGCUCGUCCGCUCUGGGUUAGUCGGGUCCUAAGCUGAGGCCGACAGGCGUAGGCGAUGGAUAACAGGUUGAUAUUCCUGUACCACCAUUAUUCGUUUUAAGCGAUGGGGGGACGCAGUAGGAUAGGCGAAGCGUGCUGUUGGAGUGCACGUCCAAGCAGUGAGAUUGAGUGUUAGGCAAAUCCGGCACUCUUAAGAUUGAGCUGUGAUGGGGAGAGGAACUUGUUCCUCGAGUCGUUGAUUUCACACUGCCGAGAAAAGCCUCUAGCUAGAAUAACGGUGCCCGUACCGCAAACCGACACAGGUAGUCAAGAUGAGAAUUCUAAGGUGAGCGAGCGAACUCUCGUUAAGGAACUCGGCAAAAUGACCCCGUAACUUCGGGAGAAGGGGUGCUCUUUGAGGUUCACGCUUCGAAGAGCCGCAGUGAAUAGGCCCAAGCGACUGUUUAUCAAAAACACAGGUCUCUGCUAAACCGUAAGGUGACGUAUAGGGGCUGACGCCUGCCCGGUGCUGGAAGGUUAAGAGGAGUGGUUAGCGCAAGCGAAGCUACGAAUCGAAGCCCCAGUAAACGGCGGCCGUAACUAUAACGGUCCUAAGGUAGCGAAAUUCCUUGUCGGGUAAGUUCCGACCCGCACGAAAGGCGUAACGAUUUGGGCACUGUCUCAACGAGAGACUCGGUGAAAUCAUAGUACCGGUGAAGAUGCCGGUUACCCGCGACAGGACGGAAAGACCCCGUGGAGCUUUACUGUAGCCUGAUAUUGAAAUUCGGUACAGUUUGUACAGGAUAGGUAGGAGCCUUAGAAGCGUGAGCGCUAGCUUACGUGGAGGCAUUGGUGGGAUACUACCCUAAUUGUAUUGGAUUUCUAACCCGCAGCACUUAUCGUGCUGGGAGACAGUGUCAGGCGGGCAGUUUGACUGGGGCGGUCGCCUCCUAAAGAGUAACGGAGGCGCUCAAAGGUUCCCUCAGAAUGGUUGGAAAUCAUUCAUAGAGUGUAAAGGCAUAAGGGAGCUUGACUGCGAGACCUACAAGUCGAGCAGGGUCGAAAGACGGACUUAGUGAUCCGGUGGUUCCGCAUGGAAGGGCCAUCGCUCAACGGAUAAAAGCUACCCCGGGGAUAACAGGCUUAUCUCCCCCAAGAGUUCACAUCGACGGGGAGGUUUGGCACCUC